rnacentral:rRNA from 1 species
UACAGAGGUCCCAAGCGUUGUUCGGAUUCACUGGGCGUAAAGGGUGCGUAGGUGGUGAGGUAAGUCGGAUGUGAAAUCUCCGAGCUCAACUCGGAAACUGCAUUGGAAACUACCUUGCUCGAGGGUUGGAGGGGGGGGACUGGAAUGCUUGGUGUAGCAGUGAAAUGCGUAGAUAUCAAGCGGAACACCAGUGGCGAAGGCGAGUCCCUGGACAACACCUGACACUGAGGCACGAAAGCUAGGGGAGCAAACAGG